GACGGAGGCCCCGAGCGUUGUUCGGAAUCAUUGGGCUUAAAGCGCGUGUAGGCGGGUCGGUAAGUGCUUUGUGAAAUCCCCGGGCUCAACCCGGGAAUUGCUCGGCAUACUGUCGGCCUUGAGGCAGGUAUGGGUCACUGGACCUUAGGUGUAGCGGUGAAAUGCGUAGAUAUCUAAGGGAACGCCGGUGGCGAAAGCGGGUGACUGGGCCUGUCCGUGACGCUGAGACGCGAAAGCGUAGGGAGCAAACGGG
rnacentral:rRNA from 1 species